rnacentral:lncRNA from 1 species
AUGGAGAGACAUUUCAAUGAGUGCCUGCCAAACCUGACAGCUGCAGGAUCUUCCUGCAGUGGAUUUAGUAAAUGUUUGAGUGUACAAACUCAAACAUUUUUUUAUCCCCAAACACAUUCACAAUAUAAACUUCUGAAACUCACUGAAAAUGAACAAUUAAAGAGCAAUGUGAAUAAAGGAGAAUGGAAGAAUUAUCUGUGUUUUUGGAGCAUGGAUACAUACUAUGCGAAGAGGAAAUCUGAGCUGAGACCUGGAAAUGCCAUUCUACCUACAUAAGAUACUCUUAUCAG